CGGUCUCUCUUCCUUUCCACCAACCCGUGAGCUCAUCUCCCUCUAAACUCUCAUCUCUUCUUCACACAAGCUUGGAUUAGCAUGGGAAUGGGCUGAGCUCGUGUGAAGGACAAAGAGCAACGGUUUCAUGGGCUGAAAACAUUAUGAUCAUGUUCGGAUUGGAGACUUUAAUUGGUUCUCUAAUGUAGAGUCCAAGUGACUAGAGUCCAAGGAGUGUUCGAGUUGGAGUCCAAUGCAGCCAAGAUGAUGUUUCUUUGGCUGCAGGUACUUCGGUAUAGUCGAUGGGUCGGUAGCAGUGUGCAUGGGAUAUUAUGACUGAAGCUCACCGCGACAGUUAUAAUUGUCGGACCACGGGUUGUCCACUAUUUUAUAGGUUUGGUAUGGCUUGUGACGUUUGUGUCACUUAUUAAUUGUCAAGCCAUUAUUGUUAUAGUGUUAAUAAGACUCAAACAGAUAGAUGUUAAAUGGCUCUUUGUUGUAAUUAAUUUGUGAUAGAUGUAUAAGUUGUAAUUUCCGCUAUUCAGAUUUAUGUUUUCCGCUGCAUAGAUAGAUGUAUGUUAUACUUUGAUUAUCAGGUACAUGUUAUGGGGCAUGUGACAUAUGUUGGCUGAGCGACACGUAGUCGUGCCA